GGCUAUCACCAGGGGCUCACACUUCAGUUAUGAACUUUCCAUACACAGAAUCAUGGUUAAUAAAUUUGUGUUCAUUAUAAAUUUCCCAGUUUGUAUAGUUUGUUAUAGGAUCACAAAAUGGACAGAUGCCCUUCAAGCCGAUGCAAGAUGCAAGGAUGCAAAGAGCAGAGCAAAGACUAACCUGUUUUGAAGACGUUCACCAAAACUGAGCAGUGUGCAAAGGCCUCUUUCCCAGACCUGAAACCUGGCUCUUUAUUUCUCAACGAAGUUGCACUAAAGAUGGAGGAAAGUCUGGCCUGCACCUGUCCCUCCUCCAGCAGGCUCCCUUGGCAAACCGGAAGUUUAAUUUAAAAACAAAUCAAGGAAAGAAAACUAUUGAUUCUUUUUCGGAUUGCCUGCUUGUUAUGGAUAAAUUCACACUCCAUGAAUUUGAAAGUGCAGGAAGGGCGGUCCUCCCCAGGAGGGUCACAUGAUCAUCUCACCAGAUGCAGAAAGCACAGUUAGCAGCAAAAUUCAACAGCUCUCCAUGAUAAAAAGCCCUGUGGAAACUGGGUGCAGAAGACUAAUACCCUAGCACAGCGAGGCUGUCUACAGCAGACCUGUGACUGACCUCACAAUGGAUGUUAGAAGCUGAAGUGCUGAGCUUCACCUGUGAUGACUUCAGAGAGAGAAACUCACCAAAGAACUUCUUGUGAGAUUCUUGUGGCUUCCUGCUGAUUCCUCAGACUUGGCCACCAGGAUUGAACUGCCCUUGCUGAUUCGUGUGUGGUGUCUGCUGAGUGGGCUGGACUGCAGUUGCUGAUUCAUGUUUGGUGUUUGCUAGUGGACUGGUCUAAAAAUAACAAAGAUUGGAAUCACAUCAAAGCACUACUUCUAAACAGGUCCACUUCCCCCAUAUCCUAAUAAUCUUUCUUUUCCACUUCCUCUGGUGGUAUAGAGGGGAAGUUGAACCCUUAUUGAAGUAGGUUGUAAAAUAUGUAUAUGCCUACACUUAUAACACAAACGAGCAAUUCACUCAAAUCAUACAAACUGUAGACUGUGAAAAGUAAAAUACACUAGAAUUAUACAUUUGUCACUAUUUUACACUUACAUGUAGGAUGGGUGCAGAAGUUCUCUCUAACAGGCACAGGUCAAUAGACUAGGCAAGGGGAUGGAGAAAUAAACCCAGGCAGCUACAGCCAUCUGCCUCUUCAUAUAAGUUCCAAAACCACUGGAGAACAGGCAGCCUCUUUUUCAAAUGGUUCUUGAAUAGCUGGGUGUUGACCUGUAAAAGAAUAAACCUAACCCGCUGGCUCUCAUCCUAUACAGAAAUAAAUUCAGAAAAUGGAGAAGGGCCGACCUUUAAAAUACAGGUUUGCAACUCUGAAGCUGCUAGGGGAGAAUGUAAGUGAAGCAUGUGGAGAUAUGGGCAUGAGUGGUGACUUCCUCAGUAUGACUUGGAUAGCCCAGGUGAUGAUGGCAAGAAUUGACAAGUGGGAUUAAAAGAACAAAAGAAGUUUCUGCCUCUACGGGAGACAUUCAAUAGACUCAAGAGACAACCUACAGGUAAGAAAAAAAUUUCCCAGCAACAAUCAAAGGAUUCAUAUCCAGAAUUUCUGAAGAACUCAGAGACUAAAUACCAAGGAAACAAGGAAUUCUGUGACCAGAUCAACAACUGUACUGAAACAUUCUCAAAAAAAAAAAA
rnacentral:lncRNA from 1 species